CGCCCCUCUUGCGCUGGAGCUGCCGCAGCGCCCCUGCCGGCGGAGCUGGCGCAGACCGAGGGACCCACCGCGCAGUGCUCAGAACCUGGGCUUUGGUUUUGACUGUUUACCCUUGAGCUGAAAUGCGGCAGUCAAGCUCCAUGUCUAUUGGUAGCGAGUGAUUCCUUGUUAAAGACAGGAGAAAGGAUUUCUCUAUGAUAAAUACAGGACUUACUGAAAAUUGAACUAGUCAAAGCCGGGUGUGGCAGUGCGCACCUGCAAUCCCACCACUCCAGGAGGCUGAGGCAGGAGGACCACAAGCGUGAAGCCCGGCUUUCAUUGGGAAACUUCGCGACUUACUGAGACCCGCUCUCGGAUUUCUUUAAAAAGGCAAAAGGGUGGGGGAUGUAGCUCAGUGCAAAGGGUCUGGGUUCAAACCCGCUACCAAAGCAAGAGACUUCAUCUUCCCAGGAAGAGGGAGACAAACUUCAUCUUGCAUCUCUGCCAAGUGUUAGGUCAUCUCGGUGCUCAGCGAGGCUGUGGCGCCGGAGUCGGGUUGCUGGGUCUCCCUGGAGAAUCUUCCGGGCCCGGGUCGGCGCAGGCUAACUGGGAAGCCAGCCCCGCGGCCCCGAGGCCACCACCACCCUGCUGUGGACACGGGACUGUUCAGCUCAGCGGAGUGGGAUCUCGCAGGAGCAUUCGGGAGCCAUGGGCGGGCUAACUGGAAGUACAGUGGACCCUUGACUUAGGGACGUGAUCAGUUCCGGAGGGCUGGUUGUAACUCAAGUUGGUGAACCUGGUGAGGAGAACAUGCAGGAGGCACCACCAAGUGGCAGAGGCAGGCGGCUUGCAAGACACACGGCUUUCAUCCUGAGAACAACGGAACUACUGAAGGAACUUAGCGAAGAAGGGAUGGGCAGGGGUGACAGUGGGACUUAUCCAUGUGGCUUUUGGCUUAGAGACGCAGGACAGGUGGCAGCUCUGUCCUGAAAUGGGAGCAGGAGACGCAGACUAAGCUGCAAUUGGGAGUAGGCACUGAGGGGAGGGCCGAGGCUCAGGGGUUUGGAUUCAACUCCUCAGUGUAAAGUUGACAACCGGUGAGGUUGUACAGGAGACAGGGACACAGAGGAGCUCAGACUGUGAAAGGACAGGCAGAGAAAAGCCCUGGCCCGCCCCCAAAAUGGUCAGAGAGGUAGCUGGAAAAUCAGAAAUAGACGACAUAUUAAAACUUGUAGCAGGCUGGGGAUGUAGCCUGGUGGUAAAGCAUGCAUGAAGCCCUGGAUUACACACACACACACACACACACACACACACACAUAACUUGCUCACUGCUCCCACACAUGCUCAUUGCUUGGGUCCUGUUAUUAGAAAUAAGUUUACUUAUGACAAAAUGUGACUUGUUUAUAUAUGAAACAAGCAGCGAUUCCUCAUUUGGAUCACAGGGCUGUGAGGUUCAAAUAAAAAAAUUG
rnacentral:lncRNA from 1 species